rnacentral:lncRNA from 1 species
ACCCUUUGACUCGUUCCAAAAUUUUUAUAGUUUUGCCCAAUACCCGGGUACACGACACUUCCCUUAUAACAGACCUAUAACACGGGUUCAUGGAUCGGCUCAUUACUUAGGUCUAGGAGGCAUCCGUGGACCCUUCCAAGACCCUACAAAAGAACCGGAUGAAUAGAAUUCCCAAGACCUACCCUUUGACUCGUUCCAAAAUUUUUAUAGUUUUGCCAAUACCCGGGUACACGACACUUCCCUUAUAACAGACCUAUAACACGGGUUUGUGAAUCGGCUCAUUACUUGGGUCUAGAAGGCGUCCGUGGACCCUUCCAAGACCCUACGCAAAUACCGGAUCUCAGAGAAAUCCCUAGAACUACCCUUUGACUCGUUCCAAAAUUUUUAUAGUUUUGCCCAAUACCCGGGUACACGACACUUCCCUUAUAACAGACCUAU